rnacentral:rRNA from 1 species
UUGGACGGGGCCCGCACAAGCGGUGGAGCAUGUGGUUUAAUUCGACGCAACGCGAAGAACCUUACCAGGGCUUGACAUCCCCUGACCGCGUAUGAAAGUACGUUUUCACCCUCGGGUGACAGGGAGACAGGUGGUGCAUGGUUGUCGUCAGCUCGUGUCGUGAGAUGUUGGGUUAAGUCCCGCAACGAGCGCAACCCCUACGUUUAGUUGCUAACGCGUGAAGGCGAGCACUCUAGACGAACUGCCGUUGACAAAACGGAGGAAGGUGGGAUGACGUCAAAUCAUCAUGCCCCUUAUGUUCUGGGCUACACACGUGCUACAAUGGCCGGUACAGACGGACGCAAAGCCGCGAGGUGGAGCAAAUCCUAAAAAGCCGGUCUCAGUUCGGAUUGCAGGCUGCAAUUCGCCUGCAUGAAGUCGGAAUCGCUAGUAAUCGCAGGUCAGCAUACUGCGGUGAAUACGUUCCCGGGCCUU